rnacentral:rRNA from 1 species
CGCACGGGUGAGUAACGCGUAUGCAACUUCCUUUUACAGGAGGAUAGCUUCCGGAAACGGAAAUUAAUACUCCAUACAAUUACGAAGUGGCAUCACUUUCAGAUUAAAGCUACGGCGGUAAAAGAUGGGCAUGCGUAACAUUAGCUAGUUGGUGAGGUAAGGGCUCACCAAGGCGACGAUGUUUAGGGGUCCUGAGAGGGUUAUCCCCCACACUGGUACUGAGACACGGACCAGACUCCUACGGGAGGCAGCAGUGAGGAAUAUUGGUCAAUGGGCGCAAGCCUGAACCAGCCAUCCCGCGUGCAGGAAGACGGCCCUAUGGGCUGUAAACUGCUUUUCUGAGGGAAGAAUAACGCUGAUUCGUUCAGUGGACGACGGUACCUCAGGAAUAAGCAUCGGCUAACUCCGUGCCAGCAGCCGCGGUAAUACGGAGGAUGCAAGCGUUAUCCGGAUUCAUUGGGUUUAAAGGGUGCGUAGGCGGACUGGUAAGUCAGUGGUGAAAUCCUGCAGCUUAACUGUGGAAUUGCCAUUGAAACUGUCAGUCUUGAGUCAGGUUGAGGUAGGCGGAAUGUGUAAUGUAGCGGUGAAAUGCAUAGAUAUUACACAGAACACCGAUUGCGUAGGCAGCUUACUGGACCUGCACUGACGCUGAGGCACGAGAGCGUGGGGAUCAAACAGGAUUAGAUACCCUGGUAGUCCACGCCGUAAACUAUGAUUACUCGUUGUUGGCAAUACAUCGUCAGCGACCAAGCGAAAGCGAUAAGUAAUCCACCUGGGGAGUACGCUCGCAAGAGUGAAACUCAAAGGAAUUGACGGGGGCCCGCACAAGCGGUGGAACAUGUGGUUUAAUUCGAUGAUACGCGAGGAACCUUACCUGGGCUUAAAUGUAGACUGCAUAGCGUGGAAACAUGCUUUUCUUUUAGACUGUUUACAAGGUGCUGCAUGGUUGUCGUCAGCUCGUGCCGUGAGGUGUCGGGUUAAGUCCCAUAACGAGCGCAACCCUUAUCGUUAGUUGCCAUCGGGUAAAGCCGGGGACUCUAGCGAAACUGCCACCGUAAGGUGAGAGGAAGGUGGGGAUGACGUCAAAUCAGCACGGCCCUUAUGUCCAGGGCUACACACGUGUUACAAUGGUUAGAACAAAGGGCAGCUACCU